rnacentral:rRNA from 1 species
AUUGAACGCUGGCGGCAUGCCUUACACAUGCAAGUCGAACGGUAACAGGUCUUCGGAUGCUGACGAGUGGCGAACGGGUGAGUAAUACAUCGGAACGUGCCUAGUAGUGGGGGAUAACUACUCGAAAGAGUGGCUAAUACCGCAUGAGAUCUACGGAUGAAAGCAGGGGAUCGCAAGACCUUGUGCUACUAGAGCGGCCGAUGGCAGAGUAGGUAGUUGGUGGAUAAAAGCUUACCAAGCCGACGAUCUGUAGCUGGUCUGAGAGGACGAUCAGCCACACUGGGACUGAGACACGGCCCAGACUCCUACGGGAGGCAGCAGUGGGGAAUUUUGGACAAUGGGCGCAAGCCUGAUCCAGCAAUGCCGCGUGCAGGAUGAAGGCCUUCGGGUUGUAAACUGCUUUUGUACGGAACGAAAAGCCCUGGGUUAAUACCCUGGGGUCAUGACGGUACCGUAAGAAUAGGCACCGGCUAACUACGUGCCAGCCGCCGCAGUAACAC